rnacentral:rRNA from 1 species
UGGUAGUGUAUUGGACUACCAUGGCUUUAACGGGUAACGGAGGAUUAGGGUUCGAUUCCGGAGAGGGAGCCUGAGAAACGGCUACCACAUCUAAGGAAGGCAGCAGGCGCGUAAAUUACCCAAUCCUGACUCAGGGAGGUAGUGACAAGAAAUAACGGACCGAAGCCUAUGCUUCGGGAUUGCAAUGAGUAGAAUUUAAACCCCUUUACGAGGAUCAAUUGGAGGGCAAGUCUGGUGCCAGCAGCCGCGGUAAUUCCAGCUCCAAUAGCGUAUAUUAAAGUUGUUGCAGUUAAAAAGCUCGUAGUUGGAUUUCUGGGAGGGUGCCAAUGUCCGCUCGUUCGCGUGUGCAGCGGCGCCCUCCCAUCCUUCUGUUAACGUUUCUUGGUAUUCAGUUACUGGUUUCGGGCUCAGAUAUUUUACCUUGAGAAAAUUAGAGUGUUUCAGGCAGGCUUGCGCCGGAAUACAUUAGCAUGGAAUAAUAGAAUAGGACUUUAGUCUCCUUUGUUGGUUUGAGGGACUGAAGUAAUGAUUAAUAGGGAUAGUUGGGGGCAUUAGUAUUUAAUUGUCAGAGGUGAAAUUCUCGGAUUUGUUAAAGACUAACUUAUGCGAAAGCAUUUGCCAAGGAUGUUUUCAUUAAUCAAGAACGAAAGUUAGGGGAUCAAAGACGAUCAGA